AGCUGGAAAAAGACAAAGUGUCCUGGGCCUGGGCCACUACCAGCGCCACAGCAGGCAGGCAGCCAGGAGCAGCUGUGUAGAAGCCAGAAGCCAGGAGCAGCUACUUGGAGCCUGAGUGCACCAGGAAAGUGACCUGGGUGUAGAAUCUACCAUCCGCCCAGAACUGCCGGUUGGCUGCACUUGGCGACACCUACGCAGUAGCCCAGGGACGCAGAGCGCGGACAGUCAAGAUCAGGGCUACCUAGAGGAAACUCUGAACGUUGCAAUCCGAACUUCUGAAGGUCAGCAGCCAGGACAGGUGAAAAGUGAACGAGGCUGAAGUCAGGUGUGGGCGCGAAGCGGCAGAGUGGACCCAAAGGAGUUUGCCUCUGCAGUGAAGACAGCUUUAAGGAAUGAAAAGGGAGAUUGCCGGCUUGUACGGGCACCACAUGUCCAACCCCCAUAUCUAUUGAGCAUGCAGACAUCCGGGUCAAGAAUUACAGUGUGAACUCCAGAGAGAGGUAUGUCUGUAACUCUGGUUUCAAGCGGAAAGCUGGCACAUCCACCCUGACUGAGUGUGUGAUCAACAAGAACACAAACGUUGCCCACUGGACAACUCCCAACCUCAAGUGCAUCAGAGACCCCUCCCUGGCUCACUACAGCCCAGUGCCAACAGUAGUGACGCCAAAGGUGACCUCACAGUCAGAAAGCUCCUCCCCUCCUGAAAAAGAGCCAGAAGCUUUAUCUCCCAAAUCAGAUACCACAGUGGCCACAGAGACAGCUAUUAUGCCUGGAUCCAGGCUGACACCAUUCCAACCAACUUCUGCAGGAACUACAGAGACAGGCAGUCACAAGUCCUCCCGAGCCCCAUCUCUUGCAGCAACAAUGACCUUGGAGCCUACAGCCUCCACCUCCCUCAGGAUAACAGAGAUUUCUCCACACAGUUCCAAAAUGACAAAAGUGGCUGUGUCUACAUCGGUCCUCUUGGUUGGCGCAGGGGUUGUGGUGGUUUUCCUGGCCUGGUACAUCAAAUCAAGGCAAACUUCUCAGCCAUCUCCUGUUCAGGUGGAAACCAUGGAAACGGUACCGAUGACUGUGAGGACCAGCACCAAGGAGAAUGAAGACACUGGAGCCUAAACACACAACUUCAGAAACUCAGAGAGACCUGCCUGGCUGAGUCCAAAGGGAAGACUCAAGGGCAGUUAGUCCAGCUGCACCUUGACACAAGAAAAAGCCUAAUGUAAUAAUAGAAGUCUCUGGUAUGACCUGUUUUACUGAGCCUGGGUGCUUCCCAUAUGCAGGCCUGGAUCCCAGUACCAGGAAGGACACCACCUUUCUUCCUUGUUCAUGAACUCCCCGGAGUACAAGCAGCCUGAGCUCUCCUGGGAAUCUCCAUAAAAGCCUCUAACUCCACUCAGAGCAGCUUCUCAGCUAGACUCACUUUUCUAUUCCUACUCUGAUUUACAGUUUACAGAGAUUGGCAAGGCUGCCAUUGUCCUCCAAGGCUCCUCUGGCAUAGGAGAUGUCUAUAAAGAAGACGGCAGCAUUUGAGCUCUGAAGAUUUGGCUGUUUGCUGCCUUGCACGUAUUGGAAGAGAGCAGAAAAAGGCAGAAGAGAUAUUGAGCCAAUGAACCUUUCUGUAUAGGAUUCAUGACAAAAACUGAACUCAGUGACCGUGUGUGUAUAUGUGUGUGUGUGUGUGUGUGUGUGUGUGUGGUGUGUAUGUAAAAGUGUAUAUUUACAUAUACAUUUAUAUUUAUACUUUCUUUUCUAUUGUAUCAACCUAUUGUAUACGAUUUAUAUUUGAAAGUGUCAUGUGUAGACAAAAUAAAAUAUCUAUUUUCAGUACAAAAA